GGAGUGGAAGAGAAAUGCACAGCACAGUGCACUGGAGGAGGAUGAUUGGAAGCGUCUGCAGUGAACUAAUCCUGUCUGGCUACUUUACUUUUUAAUUCUGCCUGCACAAAAGUCUUUGGUCGCAAGACCUCCAAACCGCCACCGGAUUUCAGCCUUUCAAAAAAACAAACAAAAAAAAACACAUCUGCUUCAAGCCUGAAAAUCGCCACUCCAGGUAAUCGGGUUCUUCAGCGCCCCCGGUACCCAGCGGCGGUACCCACGCUGUCAUCUUCUCCGUCGAUUUCUCCAUCAGCCACGGUAAGUUGCUCAUCUCCGAUUCACAG